CCUACGGGAGGCAGCAGUAAGGAAUAUUGGUCAUGCCCGGAAGGGUGAACCAGCCAUGCCGCGUGCAGGAUGACGGCCCUAUGGGUUGUAAACUGCUUUUGGAUAGGAAGAAUGGAUUGUAUUGAUAUGAUUUUGACGGUACUAUCAGAAUAAGCCCCGGCUAACUACGUGCCAGCAGCCGCGGUAAUACGUAGGGGGCUAGAGUUGUCCGGAUUUACUGGGUGUAAAGGGUGCUCAGGCGGAUUUGUAAGUCAGAGGUGAAAUCCCAAAGCUUAACUUUGGAGCUGCCUUUGAUACUGCAAGUCUUGAGUGUGAGAGAGGGUAAUGGAAUAUCUGGUGUAGCAGUGAAAUGCGUAGAUAUCAGAUAGAACACCAAUGGCGAAGGCAGUUACCUGGCUCAAUACUGACGCUAAAGCACGAAAGUGUGGGGAGCAAACAGGAUUAGAUACCCUGGUAGUCCACACCCUAAACGAUGAAUACUAGAUGUUGGUCCUUUUCAGGGUCAGUAUCCAAGCUMACGCAUUAAGUAUUCCAGCCUGGGAAGUACAAUCGCAAGGUUGAAACUCAAAGGAAUUGACGG
rnacentral:rRNA from 1 species